rnacentral:rRNA from 1 species
UGGGGGAUAUUGCACAAUGGGCGAAAGCCUGAUGCAGCGACGCCGCGUGGGGGAUGAAGGCCUUCGGGUUGUAAACUUCUUUUGCUCUGAACAAGGCAUGCCUUUGGGGUGUGUUGAGUGUAGGGGUUGAUUAGCGCCGGCUAACUACGUGCCAGCAGCCGCGGUAAUACGUAGGGCGCGAGCGUUGUCCGGAAUUAUUGGGCGUAAAGGGCUUGUAGGUGGCUGGUUGCGUCUGUCGUGAAAGCUCAUGGCUUAACUGGGGGUUUGCGGUGGGUACGGGCUGGCUGGAGUGCAGUAGGGGGGGCUGGAAUUCCUGGUGUAGCGGUGGAAUGCGCAGAUAUCAGGAGGAAUACCGGUGGCGAAGGCGGGUCUCUGGGCUGUUACUGACGCUGAGGAGCGAAAGCGUGGGGAGCGAACAGG